CUUUUCUUCUCACCCAAGUUGAAGAAGAUUAAAUAAAAAUCAUCUCCCAAACUUGAAGAAGAUUGAACAUUUGAUUUGAUAAUGAGUCAAACACAUAUAAAUAUUGUGGUGUUAUAUAAUGGAUCGUGGGAACAAGUUUUGAACGAAGGUUGGUCAUUUAGUGCUAAACAAAGCAAGGGUAUGAAGGUGCCAAAGACUAUCACUUACAAUAGUCUUGUUGAUCAAUUGUAUACUUUAAUCGGAGCUGACAAGUCUCGUAUUGAUCUUGACUUAAAUGUAAUCUAUCAUUUUGGAAGUAAAGGUAUCCCUCCAUCUUUAA